rnacentral:rRNA from 1 species
AUUGAACGCUAGCGGGAUGCCUUACACAUGAAAUUCGAACGUAGUGGCGAACGGGUGAGUAAUGUAUCGGAACGUGCCCAGUAGCGGGGGAUAACUACGCGAAAGCGUAGCUAAUACCGCAUACUAUUGGAGCGGCCGCUAUCGGAUUAGCUUGUUGUGUGGGUAACGGCUCACCAAGGCGACGAUCCGUAGCUGGUUUGAGAGGAAGACCAGCCACACUGGGACUGAGACACGGCCCAGACUCCUACGGGAGGCAGCAGUGGGGAAUUGUGGACAAUGGGGGAAACCCUGAUCCAGCCAUCCCGCGUGUGCGAUGAAGGCCUUCGGGUUGUAAAGCACUUUUGGCAGGAAAGCGGUACCUGAAGAAUAAGCAACGGCUAACUACGUGCCAGCCGCCGCGGUAAUAC